rnacentral:rRNA from 1 species
AAUGAACGUUGGCGGCGUGGAUUAGGCAUGCAAGUCGUACGGUGGUUUCCUUUCGGGGAGGCCAUAGUGGCGAAAGGGAGAGUAACGCGUGGUUACAUGCCCUCGAGACCGGGAUAGCGGCGGGAAACUGCCGGUAAUACCGGAUAAUAUCUUUGGAUCAAAGGUGUGAUUCCGCUCGAGGAUUGGACCGCUUUCUAUUAGCUUGUUGGCGGGGUAAUGGCCCACCCAGGCGACGAUGGAUCCCUGGUGUGAGAGCAUGGCCCGGCUCACUGGGGCUGAGACACUGCCAGACACCUACGGGUGGCUGCAGUCGAGAAUCUUCGGCAAUGGGGGCAACCCUGACCUGGCGGCGCCGCGUGCGGGACGAAGGCCUUCGGGUUGUAAACCGCUGUCAGUUGGGAGGAAAUGCUGGGGGGUUCUCCCCUCAGUUUGACCGAUCUUCAGAGGAAGGACGGGCUAAGUUCGUGCCAGCAGCCGCAGUAA